rnacentral:tRNA from 1 species
GGGAUUUUAGCUCAGCUGGGAGAGCGCACGACUGAAGAUCGUUAGGUCCCGUGUUCGAUCCACGGAAGUCCCA